AGUGCAGAGCGAAAAGAGCGGAAAAGUAACAUUCCAACAUUCUAACAAUGGAACACUGCGACAUUGUAACAUUGGUUUUGUUUGAGGAUCCCGCGUAAAAUACACGCUGACAGCCGGAGGAGUUUUCAGACAGCGAAUGUGGAUUGUGUUUGAAGCAGCUGACUGGGCACUUUUUUUGGAUACGGUUGUACUGAACGGAAACGGGGGGAAACCGUCUGAAUGGUAACGACAAUAUGCGGAGCCGUUUACAUUCCGCAACCAGAAGUUUAUGGAAGGCGAUAUGGGAAAGUUAGUUUCUAAACGCGAAUGUCACUAACAGAACCGAUGUGGUUCUUCGAACCUCGUUUGCUUCGGACACGUCAAUGUAAUAAUGAUCAUCAUGUCUUAUGUUAUGGAUUCAUAACGCUAUUCGUUUGCUUCUUUAACGUUACAUUCUGAAACCGCCACACAUCAAAUGGCAUAAGAAGAUGACUGAAUUUCACAAAGGUCAUUUCACAAAAACGCACCGGGAGUUCUUUAUAUCGCAUUUGCUCGGACUUGUAUGUGAUUCUGGUUAAAUUGAUCGUUGAUGGCUGUUUCUGUUCGGAUUUACUCUCCACCGGCUGAUCAGGAGGGAUCGAUCCGCCUGAUUCACCCUUUCCAGCAUCUACAGGAGGAGGACGAGCUCGGGACGCGAGAGAGGCUGGUGGUUUUGGACCUGGACUGUUUCGAAGACUUGGCUUUUAUAUCUGGACCUGGAUUAUAAAGCCAGUUCCCAGGAAAUCGUCCCCGUCUUGUGUGCUUUAUGCCUUCGUGAGGGUUUCGCAGGCAGGGAUGCAGUUGAAUCGACCCAAGAGCGCGCAUCUCAUCAGCUCCAGUCCACACAGUUCAUCUUCUUAUUCCAGUCAGUUCAAAAGCAUGCGCUUCUCAUACCACAUCAGCAGCGGUUUACCCAGUCCACAGCCUGCCCUGCGCAGAUCAGGCCCCUGCCUCGGAGCCCAUGAGACCCCACAGCGCCUCUGCUCUGGACCCUGGACCCCUGGAAACACAGCACUGCAAUGGCACAAGUGAGGACGGACCUCAGGACGUCCCGCCACCACCCACUAAAACACGCCCACCUUUACCUGGGCCAAAGCCUCAAGUGCCCCCGAAACCCCCUCAUCUACAGCAGAAGAGUGCUCGAAGGACAUGCCCCCCGGAUAAACCCCUCCCACCUCCACCCUCCCGCC